rnacentral:lncRNA from 1 species
GGGGGAACGGGUAGCUCUGGGACGGUGACCGGAGGAACGGGUAGCUUGGGAACGGUCACUGGAGGAACUGGUAGCUUAGGUACGGUCACCGGAGGAACCGGUAGCUUAGGUACAGUCACUGGAGGAACGGGUAGCUUAGGUACGGUCACCGGAGGAACCGGUAGCUUGGGUACAGUCACUGGAGGAACGGGUAGCUUAGGUACAGUCACUGGAGGAACCGGUAGCUUAGGGACGGUCACCGGAGGAACUGGUAGUUUGGGAAUGUGUACUGGGGGUUUAGGGGAGGGCUUUCCACCCUUCCUGGGGUUACAUGAACCGCAUGAGAGGGAAUGUUG